UAGAAUAAAUCGUUGAAUCCGUAAUGGAGCGGGGGAACCAUUGUUGUAACGUGUGUUACUUGGGGUGAAUCCGACGCAGGAGGGGCUACUCUCAUGCCCUAACCCGACAGCUAACCUCGUAAGCGUAGUGGGAGGGAUGG
rnacentral:sRNA from 1 species